ensembl:lncRNA
CCUUCGAGUCCUCCUCCACCCAACGGGCUCCCCGAGGCUCAUAUUUCAACACACUCACAAGGCCCUUCCAACGUGCCCCUCAAGUUAUGAGUUGGAAAUGCCAGCAGGAAUGGAAAAUCCAGGGCACAGCCAGGAGCGCAGUCCGGCGAUACCGUAGAGCAACACAGCCUACCUGCCAUUCUGUGACAACACAGCAAAAAGCUUCCAAAUAUGGGCAGGGAUGGUCCCUAAAGCAGGUCCCAGAGAAUAUGUUCCAGACACCAGCCCCAUGGUCCAGCCACCCAGCUUCUCUCUCACUCCUGAUGUUGCUGAGUUCUUUCAUGCACACCAGCCUUACCAACCUCCAUGCAUCUCUUGAUCUUCUUUCACCACCACAAGCAAAUUAUUUCUCAAUCCUCUUAUCCAAUUUCUCUCUUGAGGGUAG